GUACAGACGAGUUCGGUUUGAGCUGGGAGUACAAACGCCGAGUAGAAAACACUGGAAACGCAAAGAAGAAGGCGAGGGAGGGAGGGAGCGAGGGAGCGAUCGAGCGAGCAACGUAGUUGACCAAAAAUUCUUGUUCGAACUCAGAGAGCUUUCGAAAACAACAAACAAUUAAAGAGAAAAUGGCUUUGGAAUCUGUUGGGGAUUUGGCUCUGAACUUGAUUCUAAGCAAAUUAGAACCCGAAGACACUGCCAAAUCCUCCUGCGUUAGCAAGAAAUUGAGGUCGUCUGCCUCCGAAGAGACUCUCUGGUCUCGUUUCUGUGCAGAUGAACUCGGCCUCUCCCAACCCAUCGAUCCUCUCGGCAAUCCCACGCCUUCCUUCAAGAUAUGUUAUCAAAUAUGGCGCAAAGAGUUUUGUAUAUAUCCUUGGUCACUUGUGAAGCGAGUUAGAAGAUGUUGGGACAGACUUAGAAGUUGGUUGGCGGUAAAUUUUCCAGAGGCUGGAGCUACACUUAGAAAAGGUGCUACAGAAGAUGAUAUAAAGGAGUUGGAGAAUGCAUUGAAAGUGAAACUGCCACUUCCUACAAGGGUUCUUUAUCGUUUUGUUGAUGGUCAAGAAUUUCAUGGGAAAGAUUACAUAACAAGUGUUUUUGGAUGUCCACUGGGUCUCAUAGGUGGUUAUAUUUUUUAUGACCAAUGUGUAAAUGUGUAUAUGCUACCUUUACGUCAAGUUAUUUUGGAAACAAGGGAGAUCCGACGUGAACUUCAUUUUCCUGGCAAAUCAAAGUAUGUCGCUGUUGCUUGUUCUUCCACAGUUGAUGAGAAGUUCUUUUUCCUAAACUGUUUCAAUGGUCAACUCUAUGUUGGUACACAAAACCUUCCACAUUAUGGAGAAAUGAUUCCAUGUGUCCCAGAUGAAUUAAUAAGGUCAGUACAUGAUUGUAAUGGUGACCAACAGCAAGAUGCUACGUUGCUGUGGUUAGAAGAACAUGUUCGUCGCUUAGAAAGUGGAAUUAUCAAACUUUGUGAAUAUGGAAAUAUUAAAUGUAUCAGUCUCUUUCCGGAGGAAACUCCCCUCUGUUCAACUGCUAUAACCAAUGGUGUAAAGGUUCGUGCCUCUGCUGUUUUUGUACCAGAGAAUGCCAACCUUAAAAAUGACCAGGAAAAGUAUCUGUUUGCAUAUUUAAUCCGUAUGUCCCUUCUUCCUGAAGGAUGCAUCGUCAAUGGAAUGUCAUUCAGCUCUUGCCAACUUCAUUGGAGACACUGGAUCAUCCGUGCUAAUGACACUGUAACAUCUGAUGUUAAUGCAGAAGCUGUAAUUGGAAAGAGUUGCUAGGGAUUUAACCGCAAAAACAAGGAAAUUUGAGACCCAUAUAGAUUUAACUCUAUCUGUCAUGACUAAAUUGUUUCCUGAAUCCAAAUGUAGUGUUAUCUACUGGUAGUUACUCCUAUCUUUCAUUAUUUCUUUCUUACUUCAUUAUUAUCUUGAACUAGUGGUGCCUCUAAUAGUAUUACUCUUCUGUGAAAAUCUGUGAAUUUAUCAAAUGAUGAGAUUGAAAACUCAAUAAUAGAGGACACGUGAAAGUCCUUGAACUAGCUCCCAUCUUAGAUUGAAUAAAGUGAUUGAGAUACUGAGUUCCCUGGAAAAUUAGAAAUAGAUAAUCGAGUGAUUCAUGGAAUUGACCAAAAUGGUAGCCAAAAUCCUAAGUGAACUGACUGAUGGAAAAAUUGAGAGUCAUAUGACAGUCUUCAUAAAAGCUUCUUUUUCCAGAUUUAUCAAUUUCCUUGACUAACUUGAACAUCAUGUUUCUCUGACAUGAGUGAAUUUAGGAAGCAUCGAGUCAUUAAGGUCUUGAUUCAUUGUGACGUUUAGGAUCUAAUUGAACAAUUUGCUUGGUUUGGUAGGUAGUCAGUCCAAGGCAAUGUAUUUUGGAGGAUGUAAUGCAAGUUGCUUCUUUUAUUGUCUUGUUUCUCAUAAUUCUACUAAUCUCAACUUUUUUAGUAAUGCAUUGCUGUUAAAAAGCUAUUAGGACAUGGCUUUCAAGAAAUAAACAAUGCCAGAGUAAGACAACUUAGUAUGUCCUCACUUUAAAAAUCUAAAAAGGCACAAAAAAAUUAUAGAAAUAAUUUUAUUUUUUUUUAAUCCUUUGCUUUUCUCUAAUCAAAAUGCUGCAGGUGAAAAAUGUAAUACAAAAAUGAUGAUCAAGUUUGUAGUUUUGACAUUAUUACAAGUUGAACUUCUGUGAGUUAACAAUCUUAUGGAUGACAGGAAUUAUAAAUGUAAUUUGAGUUCUAUUACAUAAACUCUUAACUCGUUACUGACCUGAGCUUGGUAAUAUUUUAGACCAGCUGUAGCUAUGAUGUUUGUUAACUCAAACAAGUAGAAGCCUGUGUCAAUGUAUGUGAUCAUUUUCCUUUAUAAUUUGCUACUGUAUGCAUACAUAAGUGCAGUAUGCACAAAAAAGUUUUCUCUCGCAUCUAAAGCAAAAGCUAAAAGAUAGUUGGUGGUCUGAUCAAGUGAUAACCUUUAAUUUAGGUUUUUGUGAUUAUUAUUUCUAGUUAUGUAUUUUGUUCAUGGAAAUCAAUGUGUCCCUGCUCCUUCCCUUUUCUUUUCCAUGUGUAAAUUAGACAUCACUCAACAGAUAACCAUCUCUUUCCUUAAAAUUCUUUGUGAGAUGAUCUCCACUUUAUAAAGAGGGAUGAGGAACCAUUUGGCUAUAAACAUAACAAAAUGGUUCCCUUGCUGCGGGUCAGUUUUUGCCUUCCCUAAUUUCCUUGAAGCUCAUUGAUAUUGAAGAUUGAGUUUAGACCUCCCCAAGAAAAGUAAAGUCUGGCUAGAUUUUGGUUUCCACUCUUGAAACCAGGCGAAGAGGAAUUUGUUUAUGAGAGUUGCACGCCUCUAACAUCUUCAACUGGUUCUGUUGAAGGUUCUUUCACAUUUGUGCCUGGCAG